UACGUAGGGUGCAAGCGUUAAUCGGAAUUACUGGGCGUAAAGCGUGCGCAGGCGGCUUUGCAAGACAGAUGUGAAAUCCCCGGGCUUAACCUGGGAACUGCAUUUGUGACUGCAUGGCUAGAGUGCGGCAGAGGGGGAUGGAAUUCCGCGUGUAGCAGUGAAAUGCGUAGAUAUGCGGAGGAACACCGAUGGCGAAGGCAACCCCCUGGGCCUGCACUGACGCUCAUGCACGAAAGCGUGGGGAGCAAACAGG
rnacentral:rRNA from 1 species